rnacentral:ncRNA from 1 species
GGGGCUACGAGUGGUGGCCCCCUGACGCCGGUACCUGACACGGCCGGUGCAG